rnacentral:ncRNA from 1 species
AUUAAGCCAUGCAAGUCUAAGUACGAGCUCUCGUACAGUGAAACUGCGAAUGGCUCAUUAAAUCAGUUAUGGUUCAUUUGAUCGUACAGUUUACUUGGAUAACUGUGGUAAUUCUAGAGCUAAUACAUGCGAGAAGCGCCGACCUCGCGGGAGGCGUGCAUUUAUCAGACCAAAAUACCGGCCGCGUCUUCGGGCGCGUUCGCCUUGGUGACUCUGGAUAACUUUGCGGAUCGCACGGUCUAGCACCGGCGACGGAUCAUUCAAGUGUCUGCCCUAUCAACUUUCGUCGGUACGGUAUUUGCCUACCGAGGUUCUUACGGGUGACGGGGAAUCAGGGUUCGAUUCCGGAGAGGGAGCCUGAGAAACGGCUACCACAUCCAAGGAAGGCAGCAGGCGCGCAAAUUACCCAUUCCCGACGCGGGGAGGUAGUGACGAAAAAUAACAAUGCAGGACUCGUUCGAGGCCCUGUAAUUGGAAUGAGUACACUUUAAAAGCUUUAACGAGUAUCCAUUGGAGGGCAAGUCUGGUGCCAGCAGCCGCGGUAAUUCCAGCUCCAAAAGUAUAUAUUUAAGUUGUUGCGGUUAAAAAGCUCGUAGUUGGAUUUUGGGCGCAGGCGGCCGGUCCGUCGCAAGGCGUGUACUGGACGUCCUGGCCUUCCCUCCGGUUCUCCGCCGGUGCUCUUGACUGAGUGUCGGCGGCGGCCGGAACGUUUACUUUGAAAAAAUUAGAGUGUUCAAAGCAGGCUCUCGAGCCUGGAUAAUGGUGCAUGGAAUAAUGGA